UACGUAGGGUGCAAGCGUUGUCCGGAAUUAUUGGGCGUAAAGAGCUCGUAGGCGGUCUGUUGCGUCCGCUGUGAAAACCCGGGGCUUAACCCUGGGCUGGCAGUGGAUACGGACAGACUAGAGGUAGGUAGGGGAGAAUGGAAUUCCCGGUGUAGCGGUGAAAUGCGCAGAUAUCGGGAGGAACACCGGUGGCGAAGGCGGUUCUCUGGGCCUUACCUGACGCUGAGGAGCGAAAGCGUGGGGAGCGAACAGG
rnacentral:rRNA from 1 species